rnacentral:lncRNA from 1 species
AAGAAUGAAGAACAAUUAAGAGAAAAAGAGAAAAAAGAGUUUAAUCAUAAAGCUUACACAAUAAGUAACUAAAUAUGCUUUUGUAUAAAAUGAAGUAACUAACUAACUAACUUCCACUAAUAUAUAUAUAGUGACUACUCAAAAGGAAGGGAUGAGCCUAGAUUAGGCUAAUCUAAUCUACGUAAUUAAAUUAAUUACACAAAACAAAGUCCAAACUCGCAGCCCAAUUACUCAAGUACAUAUAUUCUGACUUCCAAGCUCAAUUUAACCCUCGAAAUGGCCAAAUUGGCCCAAGCUUAUUUUUGACAAAAUUGAAAAUCCUUUUCUUAGCUUUCCACGUACUACUCGCAUGAUCCAUUUGGAUCUUUUU